CUGGCUGAGACGCAGGAGACAUGAGUUCUACUCUCAUCCCUUCCACUGAUUUGGUGGGUAAUAUCAUUGGAACAGCUUCAACAGGAAAGACUGAGGAAGCCCCACAUCAGAUUAUCCCACAGCUCAGUGAUUAGAGCUGUUAGAUUCCUGAGAAAUUGUGGAUCCUUGUUCAAAUACCUGCUCCUCUUCAGGAUGGGAGACUUGAACUGGGGAGCUUCCACAGCUGUGAUUGACGAGCCCUCAGAUGCCGCUUUACUGUACAUGGCAGCCACGCUGGAGCCGAGGCACAUCUGGAGUGGAGUAAGCUUACUAAGAAACAGGGGCCAGCUUUAGCUGGAGCCAGUGGAACUGAGAACAGUCGAUGAAAGGCAGCCCUCCCGCCUCCCCCUUCCCCUUCCCCUCAGUCCCUGGGUAGAUUUCCUAAUGUAAACAGAGUUGGUGGGGGAAGAACACAGUAACUCUUUGCUGAAUGUUUGUCAUUUAAUGUUCUUUAUCU